UACGAAGGGGGCUAGCGUUGCUCGGAAUCACUGAGCGUAAAGCGCACGUAGGCGGCUUUUUAAGUCAGGGGUGAAAUCCUGGAGCUCAACUCCAGAACUGCCUUUGAUACUGGGAAGCUCGAGUCCGGGAGAGGUGAGUGGAACUCCGAGUGUAGAGGUGAAAUUCGUAGAUAUUCGGAAGAACACCAGUGGCGAAGGCGGCUCACUGGCCCGGUACUGACGCUGAGGUGCGAAAGCGUGGGGAGCAAACAGG
rnacentral:rRNA from 1 species